AGAGUUUGAUCCUGGCUCAGGACGAACGCUGGCGGCGUGCUUAACACAUGCAAGUCGAACGAUGAAGCUGGAGCUUGCUCCGGUGGAUUAGUGGCGAACGGGUGAGUAACACGUGAGAAAUCUGCCCUUGACUCUGGGAUAACUGCGGGAAACUGUAGCUAAUACCGGAUACUUUCCCUGGUGGGCAUCCACUGGGGAAGAAAGAAUUUCGGUCAAGGAUGAUCUCGCGGCCUAUCAGCUAGUUGGUGAGGUAAUGGCUCACCAAGGCGACGACGGGUAGCCGGCCUGAGAGGGUGACCGGCCACACUGGGACUGAGACACGGCCCAGACUCCUACGGGAGGCAGCAGUGGGGAAUAUUGCACAAUGGGCGCAAGCCUGAUGCAGCAACGCCGCGUGAGGGACGAAGGCCUUCGGGUUGUAAACCUCUUUUAGCAGGGAAGAAGCGAAAGUGACGGUACCUGCAGAAAAAGCACCGGCUAACUACGUGCCAGCAGCCGCGGUAAUACGUAGGGUGCAAGCGUUGUCCGGAAUUAUUGGGCGUAAAGAGCUCGUAGGCGGUUUGUCACGUCUGCUGUGAAAUUUCGAGGCUCAACCUCGAACUUGCAGUGGGUACGGGCAG
rnacentral:rRNA from 1 species